CCUACGGGUGGCAGCAGUGGGGAAUAUUGGGCAAUGGGCACAAGCCUGACCCAGCAACGCCGCGUGAAGGAAGAAGGCUUUCGGGUUGUAAACUUCUUUUCUCAGGGACGAAGCAAAUGACGGUACCUGAGGAAUAAGCCACGGCUAACUACGUGCCAGCCGCCGCGUUAAUACGUAGGGGGCAAGCGUUAUCCGGAUUUACUGGGUGUAAAGGGCGUGUAGGCGGGACUGCAAGUCAGAUGGGAAAACCACGGGCUCAACCUGUGGGCUGCAUUUGAAACUGUAGUUCUUGAGUACGGGAGAGGCAGACGGAAUUCCUAGUGUAGCGGUGAAAUGCGUAGAGAUCAGGAGGAACACCAGUUGCGAAGGCGGUCUGCUGGACAGCAACUGACGCUGAGGCGCGAAAGCGUGGGGAGCAAACAGGAUUAGAUACCCGAGUAGUC
rnacentral:rRNA from 1 species